rnacentral:rRNA from 1 species
UACGAAGGGGGCUAGCGUUGUUCGGAAUUACUGGGCGUAAAGGGCUCGUAGGCGGCCAACUAAGUCAGACGUGAAAUCCCUCGGCCCAACCGAGGAACUGCGCCCAGUACUGCGUUGCUUGAGGAUCCAAGGGGUGCAUGGAAUUCCCGGUGGAGCGGUGAAAUGCGUUGAUAUCGGGAGGAACUCCGGCGGCGAAAGCGGUGCACUGGUGGAUUUCUGACGCUGAGGUGCGAAAGCCAGGGGAGCAAACGGG